GUGUCAGCCGCCGCGGUAAUACAGAGGGUGCAAGCGUUAAUCGGAAUUACUGGGCGUAAAGCGUGCGUAGACGGUCAUGUAAGUCGGGUGUGAAAGCCCCGGGCUCAACCUGGGAAUUGCAUUCGAGACUGCAUGGCUAGGAUGCGGAAGAGGGAAGCGGAAUUUCCGGUGUAGCGGUGAAAUGCGUAGAUAUCGGAAGGAACACCAGUGGCGAAAGCGGCUUCCUGGUCCAGCAUCGACGUUCAGGCACGAAAGCGUGGGGAGCAAACAGGAUUAGAAACCCCCGUAGUCC
rnacentral:rRNA from 1 species